rnacentral:lncRNA from 1 species
ACUUUGUGUUUCAGGUUUAGAUGGCUGCUGAGAUUUACUGAGGGGGCAAAGGAGAUAUAGUAGAUACUGCAGUGUAUUUAGGUGAUAAGAAUUUUAUACAUAGGCAUUUUUUUAAAGUAUUUGAAGACCACCAGCCGUUUUCUUGGUUUCUCUUUUCAAAUUAAUCUAGUUGAUGAACACCCAGGCAGCCUCAUUUGGAAGUUGUCACCUGUUCACAAGCUCUGAUCAGAAAGGAAUUGCUUAUCAAACAGGUCUGGAAAGAUCUAACCUUGCUUGAAGGCAGAGGUCUCUCUUCUGUGGUGCAUCACCUCCCAGAGUCAUCUGUCCAGAGCUGUAUGGUGAGAAUUUCUCUGGUCUUUCUGAAUUGGGGCAGAAGUUCAUCUGUAAGCUGAGCAUCCCGGCGUGCCAUUUUGUAGACUCGGCAUCGAGGUGUCCGGGGCCUGAAGCAGAUGGUCACACAGGGUUCCACUCAGCUGUACGUCACUCUUAUACCUAUUAUAUAGGCUUGGCCUUUUCUCAGCCUUCAGCUUUGUACGUGACCCGUUGUGGUUCGUGGGAACCAACGGGAGGGAGGGCGGCUCUAACAGAUGUUGAGGGUGAAUCUGUCACCUGCACUGUAGAGGAUGUGGCUGCUCCAGGUGACUCUUGGGUUAGGUGUGCUUGUUACUGAACAAAAUCCUUUUCAUCCUAAGCUUGAGUCUGCAACCAAAACGAUAGGAAUGGGACGGCUCUAUUUGGCUGUGCUUUCUUAAAACUGUAGUUUGAGUAAAUUAUCGACAUGGAUGAUGCUAGCCUGUACAAGCCUGGCAUCACGUUCUGCCUGAGGAAAAGGAAAAAGGAAUGUUAGAAAUGGUUGUGGGCGAGCGUGCCUGUGGAAGGAGCAUGGCUUUCCCUUUUCUUCUCGUGGGCUCUGAAAGGGCAUUGCCUCUACCAGCAUUCAGUCUACACCAGAGAUGAGGAUAUGUGUCCAUGCGCGUUGUCUGUGAGUGUGCGUGCGAGUGUUAAUGCAAACAGCUUGUAAAUACUAUAGUUGUUUAAAAUGGAAAAUAAAAGCUGAGAAGUCUUUUGAC